rnacentral:lncRNA from 1 species
CCAUACCGGACGGGGUAUGAGGACGGCCCGUUUCACCCUCAUACCGGACGGGGUAAUGAGGUCUAUGGUUUGGCGCCCAUACCGGACGGGGUAUGGGGACGACCCUGGAAUGGAUUUCAAGUGUUAAGGAUUAACGGGUAGCGGGACCCCUAUGGAUCCCCAUGGAUACUAGUGGGCUGGUGAAUCAGGAAAAUAUGUUGUGUAACGAUUGAAUUA